CUGUGAGCUCGAUGAGUAGGGCGGGACACGUGGUAUCCUGUCUGAAUAUGGGGGGACCAUCCUCCAAGGCUAAAUACUCCUGACUGACCGAUAGUGAACCAGUACCGUGAGGGAAAGGCGAAAAGAACCCCGGCGAGGGGAGUGAAAAAGAACCUGAAACCGUGUACGUACAAGCAGUGGGAGCCUCUUUAUGGGGUGACUGCGUACCUUUUGUAUAAUGGGUCAGCGACUUAUAUUCUGUAGCAAGGUUAACCGAAUAGGGGAGCCGAAGGGAAACCGAGUCUUAACUGGGCGUUAAGUUGCAGGGUAUAGACCCGAAACCCGGUGAUCUAGCCAUGGGCAGGUUGAAGGUUGGGUAACACUAACUGGAGGACCGAACCGACUAAUGUUGAAAAAUUAGCGGAUGACUUGUGGCUGGGGGUGAAAGGCCAAUCAAACCGGGAGAUAGCUGGUUCUCCCCGAAAGCUAUUUAGGUAGCGCCUCGUGAAUUCAUCUCCGGGGGUAGAGCACUGUUUCGGCAAGGGGGUCAUCCCGACUUACCAACCCGAUGCAAACUGCGAAUACCGGAGAAUGUUAUCACGGGAGACACACGGCGGGUGCUAACGUCCGUCGUGAAGAGGGAAACAACCCAGACCGCCAGCUAAGGUCCCAAAGUCAUGGUUAAGUGGGAAACGAUGUGGGAAGGCCCAGACAGCCAGGAUGUUGGCUUAGAAGCAGCCAUCAUUUAAAGAAAGCGUAAUAGCUCACUGGUCGAGUCGGCCUGCGCGGAAGAUGUAACGGGGCUAAACCAUGCACCGAAGCUGCGGCAGCGACGCUUAUGCGUUGUUGGGUAGGGGAGCGUUCUGUAAGCCUGUGAAGGUGUACUGUGAGGUAUGCUGGAGGUAUCAGAAGUGCGAAUGCUGACAUAAGUAACGAUAAAGCGGGUGAAAAGCCCGCUCGCCGGAAGACCAAGGGUUCCUGUCCAACGUUAAUCGGGGCAGGGUGAGUCGACCCCUAAGGCGAGGCCGAAAGGCGUAGUCGAUGGGAAACAGGUUAAUAUUCCUGUACUUGGUGUUACUGCGAAGGGGGGACGGAGAAGGCUAUGUUGGCCGGGCGACGGUUGUCCCGGUUUAAGCGUGUAGGCUGGUUUUCCAGGCAAAUCCGGAAAAUCAAGGCUGAGGCGUGAUGACGAGGCACUACGGUGCUGAAGCAACAAAUGCCCUGCUUCCAGGAAAAGCCUCUAAGCAUCAGGUAACAUCAAAUCGUACCCCAAACCGACACAGGUGGUCAGGUAGAGAAUACCAAGGCGCUUGAGAGAACUCGGGUGAAGGAACUAGGCAAAAUGGUGCCGUAACUUCGGGAGAAGGCACGCUGAUAUGUAGGUGAAGUCCCUCGCGGAUGGAGCUGAAAUCAGUCGAAGAUACCAGCUGGCUGCAACUGUUUAUUAAAAACACAGCACUGUGCAAACACGAAAGUGGACGUAUACGGUGUGACGCCUGCCCGGUGCCGGAAGGUUAAUUGAUGGGGUUAGCGGUAACGCGAAGCUCUUGAUCGAAGCCCCGGUAAACGGCGGCCGUAACUAUAACGGUCCUAAGGUAGCGAAAUUCCUUGUCGGGUAAGUUCCGACCUGCACGAAUGGCGUAAUGAUGGCCAGGCUGUCUCCACCCGAGACUCAGUGAAAUUGAACUCGCUGUGAAGAUGCAGUGUACCCGCGGCAAGACGGAAAGACCCCGUGAACCUUUACUAUAGCUUGACACUGAACAUUGAGCCUUGAUGUGUAGGAUAGGUGGGAGGCUUUGAAGUGUGGACGCCAGUCUGCAUGGAGCCGACCUUGAAAUACCACCCUUUAAUGUUUGAUGUUCUAACGUUGGCCCCUAAUCGGGGUUGCGGACAGUGUCUGGUGGGUAGUUUGACUGGGGCGGUCUCCUCCUAAAGAGUAACGGAGGAGCACGAAGGUUGGCUAAUCCUGGUCGGACAUCAGGAGGUUAGUGCAAUGGCAUAAGCCAGCUUGACUGCGAGCGUGACGGCGCGAGCAGGUGCGAAAGCAGGUCAUAGUGAUCCGGUGGUUCUGAAUGGAAGGGCCAUCGCUCAACGGAUAAAAGGUACUCCGGGGAUAACAGGCUGAUACCGCCCAAGAGUUCAUAUCGACGGCGGUGUUUGGCACCUCGAUGUCGGCUCAUCACAUCCUGGGGCUGAAGUAGGUCCCAAGGGUAUGGCUGUUCGCCAUUUAAAGUGGUACGCGAGCUGGGUUUAGAACGUCGUGAGACAGUUCGGUCCCUAUCUGCCGUGGGCGCUGGAGAACUGAGGGGGGCUGCUCCUAGUACGAGAGGACCGGAGUGGACGCAUCACUGGUGUUCGGGUUGUCAUGCCAAUGGCACUGCCCGGUAGCUAAAUGCGGAAGAGAUAAGUGCUGAAAGCAUCUAAGCACGAAACUUGCCCCGAGAUGAGUUCUCCCUGACUCCCUGAGAGUCCUGAAGGAACGUUGAAGACGACGACGUUGAUAGGCCGGGUGUGUAAGCGCAGCGAUGCGUUGAGCUAACCGGUACUAAUGAACCGUGAGGCUUAACCUU
rnacentral:rRNA from 1 species